rnacentral:rRNA from 1 species
UAAUACGGGGGGAGCAAGCGUUGUUCGGAUUUACUGGGCGUAAAGGGCGCGUAGGCGGCCGCCUAAGUCAGACGUGAAAUCCCCAGGCUUAACUUGGGAACUGCGUCUGAUACUGGGUGGCUUGAGUUCGGGAGAGGAAUGUGGAAUUCCAGGUGUAGCGGUGAAAUGCGUAGAUAUCUGGAGGAACACCGGUGGCGAAGGCGGCAUUCUGGACCGAAACUGACGCUGAGGCGCGAAAGCCAGGGGAGCAAACGGGAUUAGAUACCCCGGUAGUCCUGGCCCUAAACGAUGAGUGCUUGGUGUGGUGGGUAUCGAUCCCUGCCGUGCCGAAGCUAACGCAUUAAGCACUCCGCCUGGGGAGUACGGUCGCAAGGCUG